rnacentral:rRNA from 1 species
GACGAACGCUGGCGGCGUGCUUAACACAUGCAAGUCGAACGGUAAGGCCCUUCGGGGUACACGAGUGGCGAACGGGUGAGUAACACGUGGGUGAUCUGCCCUGCACUUCGGGAUAAGCCUGGGAAACUGGGUCUAAUACCGGAUAGGACCCUGGGAUGCAUGUCCUGGGGUGGAAAGCUUUUGCGGUGUGGGAUGGGCCCGCGGCCUAUCAGCUUGUUGGUGGGGUGAUGGCCUACCAAGGCGACGACGGGUAGCCGGCCUGAGAGGGUGACCGGCCACACUGGGACUGAGAUACGGCCCAGACUCCUGCGGGAGGCAGCAGUGGGGAAUAUUGCACAAUGGGCGCAAGCCUGAUGCAGCGACGCCGCGUGAGGGAUGACGGCCUUCGGGUUGUAAACCUCUUUCAGCACCGACGAAGCGCAAGUGACGGUAGGUGUAGAAGAAGGACCGGCCAACUACGUGCCAGCCGCCGCAGUAA